rnacentral:rRNA from 1 species
UGGGGAAUCAUGGUCAAUGGGCGAAAGCCUGAACCUGCGACGCCGCGUGAGUGAUGAAGGUCGUAAGAUCGUAAAACUCUUUUCAGGGAUCUUAAAGCACAACCGUCAACAACGGCUGUGUGUGACUCUCCCUGGAAGAAGCCCCGGCUAACUACGUGCCAGCAGCCGCGGUAAUACGUAGGGGGCGAGCGUUGCUCGGAUUGACUGGGCGUAAAGCGCGCGUAGGCGGUCCAUUAAGCGUGCGGUGAAAUGCAGAGGCUCAACCUCUGUCCCGCCGCGCGAACUGGUGGUCUUGAGAUUGGGAGGGGGAUGCGGAAUUCCUGGUGUAGCGGUGGAAUGCGUAGAUAUCUGGAAGAACACCAGUAGCGAAGGCGGCUCUCUGGUCCGAUACUGACGCUCAAGCGCGAAGGCUUGGGGAGCAAACA